ensembl:lncRNA
CNNNNNNNNNNNNNNNNNNNNNNNNNNNNNNNNNNNNNNNNNNNNNNNNNNNNNNNNNNNNNNNNNNNNNNNNNNNNNNNNNNNNNNNNNNNNNNNNNNNCAGUGCGUUAGGGCAAUGCCGCAACUAGCAAUCAAAAGUUACUGGAGCUGGCUACCCCACCUCCUCCAACCAGUCAUGCAGCUGACCAUAAGCACACCUGAAAUCCCACAUUACUGUGCAUUUCCAUGGGUGGGGUGAGAAAAUGAAAAGCCCGUAUCAACUUCUUAUAAGCAAACAUCGAUAUCUAUUAUUUCCAUAAGGAUAAUCUUCCUAAUGUCAUCAUAAAAUCAUAUCCCUCAUCCCUUCCAAAAAGUAAAAUUGCUCCUAAAAUAUGUAACAACUUACACUGCACUCCUCCCUGACAUUAUAAUUAUUCUUCAAUAAUUACAGAAAAUGAGAGCAAACUCUUGAAAGGAACCAUUUGUGUGCCAGGUAUCUAUACUGAACCCUUAGAAAACACUUCUUCAGUUUAGUAAUAAUGCUUCAAGGGUAACUAUUAUUUUGUAUCACCAUUUUACUGAUGAGAACUGUAAGGCUCAAAGAAAUUGAAGCACUUACCCAAAGUCACACAGUGGUAAGAAAAGAUAUGAACAGAGGGUAGGUGGUCUUAAUCAUUAUACCACAUUGUCUCUCAAUACAGAACAUGCUGGGGGUGGGGGUUGGGGGUGGAAACUCAGUGAUAUCGGAAAGCAUGUCUUGAGAUUAUUUAUAAAAAUGACCUUGUGGCAAUCUCGAAACUUUUAGAUGCAGGCAGAUAAAUAUGAUUAUACAGAGAACAAAGGUAAACAAANAGUAUUUUGUGAAGAGCUUUCAAAGCUCAAGGAAGAAACUCCUCACUAUUCUGUUUAUCUGAUCAUCUUUAAAUUUCCCAAAGCCGAAAAGCUUUGGUUUCAAAUCAGUCAAAGUCUCUUGCUCUCUGACCCACUCAUAUUUACGCACUCACUCACAUUGUGCAUAUAUGCACACACAGACAGUGCACAAAUACGUACAAAUACAUGGGAAAAAAAUACAAUAAAAUCAGCCCUCUUCUCUUUGCUGUUGAUCAAAGGUAGCUAGAGUCAGUGGGGGAUAAGUACCUUGAUGUGUACUUCAUGUACAAGUACUUUGAAGAAGAACACAGAGGAGUAACUUGUUAUGUAGCAUUCUGAAGGGGGAAAAAAAAAACACUGUAAAAUCGAAUCCCCCUGAGGAGUGUCAUUUCUAGCAAUGGGUUUUUUGUUUUUUGGGUUUUUUUUUCCUGCAGUGCCUCUAGGUGAUCAAACCAAAAAUAACUGAUUCCUGGGCUCAGAAGUUUUCAUCAGUAAUCACCUUUUGCAUUCAUAAAUAAAUCAAAAAGUAAUUUUAAUCCUAUCUUCCCUCUCCCUCCUAACAUUGCAGCAGAUAGUUUUGUAAUAGGCAAGGGGCAAAUUAAGGGACGUUCUCAGAUACAAGUGGGCAAGGAUGGACAUCCUUCACUGGCUUUCUUUUCCUAUGUGGGAGAAACACAUGGAUUAAAAAGUGGAAUGGGGGACUUUCCUGGUGGCCCAGUGGUUAAAAACUUGCCUUGCAAUGCAGGGGACAUGGGCUUGAUCCCUGGUGGGAAAAUUAUGAUCCCACACGCCAUGGAGCAACUAAGCCCGUGAGCUCAACUACUGAGCCUGCACAGCACAACCAGAGAGUGCCCACACUGCAGUGGAAGAUUCCACAUGAUAUAAAGAUCUUGCAUGCCCCAACUAAGACCCUAGGGAGGCGAAUAAAUGAACAAACAUUUUAAAAGCAGAAAGCCACAUCUCCAUCAGGGCCGAUUCCAGUUAUCUGAAGCACCCUCGGACACUAAGGGAUGGAAAGUGUUACCCUGCAGUGGGUCCGUGAAGACAGAAACAGCCAUUCAGCUCCAUUAUUACCUGUGAUUGGUGCCAUCAGAAAAGCAACUAUUUUCUUUAAUUGCUUAAAAACAGCAAAGAAAAUACCAGCAAUACCAGCAAGGGGGUAAAAGAAUGACACGACUUCUGCCAAAGUUGACUAAUUUUCCUCUCCAAUGUUCAGUAACAUUGACUCAAGUCCAUGGUGCUCUCCUACGACACACCUCCAUCAUUUGGGGAUUAAAACACAAUCCAAGAAGCCACAGGCAAUCAUCUCCUUUCCCUUACUGAUAAUGGUUCUCAGAACUAUGAUAUGCUCAUUCUCUCUCUUUUAUUUUUUAAUUAGGUGAAGUCUAUUUUAUAAAGCAAGAAACUCCUGAAAAGAGGUCACAGAUUUAUCAUGAUGUUGAAAGUCAUAAAAUUACAGUUACAGGCUAAGUAGUUAAAUCCAAAUUACAUACCACCCCAUUAAUUUUAUAAUCAAUAGAGAUUAAAGGAAAUGAGGACGUAAAGUAAAUGAUAGGAUCCUAGCUUAAGUCAAAUCAACACGUAUUUAUUGGCAUCUGUUACGUUUAAGAUGCCNNNNNNNNNNNNNNNNNNNNNNNNNNNNUGUCCUGUGCCUUCCAGGAGCUUACCAUCUGGCUGGAGGACUGAUGCAGAGAAUGAAGAAGGAUUCCCAGUAGAACAGUAACAAUGACAAGGGUGUCGCAAGGCAUGCCACGGGGAAUGGCCAAGAGAACCAUGCACAAAAGACUGUGACUGACAGUGCAAUGGUUAGGCCCAGGGGUUCUGGGACUGAAUCCUCACUCUACUAUUUACAAGCUCACUGACCUGGGGCCUGUUACGCAUUGUGAGUUGACACUUGCCAAGUGUUUACAAGUAAGGACAGGCACACGAUAAGUGUCAUGCAACCGUCUGUUAAAUAAGAGAAAAAUACUACUAAGAGAAGAGAAAGAUACCUAUCACUCUGAAGUUUCCUAAAGUGCUGAAUUUUAGGAGACUCAAGUAGAAUUCGAGUAAGGUGAGAAAACACGAGUGUUCAUUC